rnacentral:piRNA from 1 species
UCCAUGGAUGAAACUCAGUUUAUUAGG